rnacentral:lncRNA from 1 species
GUGAUAUUUAUCAUAAUAUAGUAAAAAUAUAUUUUAUUCAUCAAAUUUAUCAUUGUAUACUGCAAUAUAAUUCAAUUUAAACUUUUUAUUAUUUCACUGAAUAAACUUAGAUUUAUUCAACUUUAAAAAAAAAGGGUACAGAUGUGACCUAUAAAAUUAAAAAUUAUAAGAAAAAGGCAUACUAGAGCAAGGAUCAAAAUCUUCAAUUUGAUGUCGAAUUUUAUUGUGCUGUUGUCAUCGUCUCAAUACCUGUUUUAGGAAGAGAUACGAUCCUUGAACUAGUUACCAAAUUGGGCUAUUAAUAUACUCUUGAUACAAUUUAUUGCUAUGUACAAAUUAGAUUUUUAAUUUUGUAACAUACAAUAAUACUAUUAAGGAUAAUACUUUCAGAUUAUUACCUAAACAAAAAUAAAUUGAUAUUAAAUAUAGAGCAUAUAUACGAAUCAAGCUGCUAACUUGUUGAAGCUAUUGACGAAUUAAGUGCAGCAUUGAUAACGUUCAAUGAGUCAAUCAGAUCGUCCAUUGGACAAUCUUGAUUAUGAUAAGUAAGAAUUUGUUAUUUAGACGAAUUCGUGGGUUUUUUUUUUUUUUUUUUUAAUUUAAAUCGUACUGAAAGACUUUCAAAUGUUUAAAUUAGUAGGAUAUGAUGAUUUUAUAAAACAUGUUAAAAAUACAAUAUAUUGAGAUCAUAUAGCAUUAACUAUUGUUGUUGAAUCUUUGUGGAUAGGCUCUAUCAAUCAGAUUAUUUCGUGAUAUGGGAAGCACAAUGCAAAAAAAUUAUAAUAUUGCUGUAAAAUAUCUGUUCCAUUGAAUUUAUGAUGGAUAAAGUCUAUCUGUGAAGUUUCACUAAUAAAUAAAUUUAACAGUUUAUCUGAAAUCUAAUUAUCAUUCUAUAUUUAUGCCUGAAUCUUUUUUUUUUUAGCAUCUAAAAAUAUAUUCAGUGUUACGUAUACACAGUUUUAUUUGUCUGUAUGUUAGUUAUUUGUAAAUAUAUAAUUUUUAAUAAUAGACUUUUUAAAUUCAUCUAUCUACAAAUACUCUUUAUCUAAUGGAGAUUUUAUAAAUUGCUCUUCAAAUAUUAUUAAAAUAAACAAAAAAAUAUGCAUGUUAAUAAAUUCACAUGCACUUAUAAACUGCGAAACUGCAUUUCCAAAAAAUGGGUUGGCUUCAAAAGAGUAAAAUGUAUAUUUCUUUGCGGAAAUAUAUAUUUCCAUUAUAAAAAUAUAUAUUUGUAUAAUAGCUAUAUUUCUUAUAUGUACAUGAAUAUCUGUGUUCAAUACAUUAAUCUUAUGGCAUAUAGUUUCUUUUUUUAUAAUAACGAAAUAUACAUAUUUGUAUCAUACUAAUGAAUAAAAUCCAACACUUGAGCGGUUGUGGGGGGGAUCUCUUUUGUUGACGAGCGUUUUCAGUAAACCUGGUUACCGAAAACAUUUGUUAUUAACCUGAAGAUGGUAA